CGAACCUGGAAUUAGCUCCAGGAUCUGAGACUCAUUUGUUAAAUUUCUUACAGUAAUAAGCAAAGGCUGUCUGUGGAUGUUAUUCCCAAUUGUUUUCACCUCCCAAGGGCUGUCUGAGACAUUUUGCCUGCAAAGCCCUUUACAAAUUAUCGUCUGCCUCUUAGGCAAGCCAUCUUUGUUAGCUCUGAGGCAUUAUUAAUUUAUUACUUAGCUUUGUGUAGUGACUUGUCUUAAAAAGGCCAGCAAUUAAUCACAUCUCCCUGCUCCAAGAGUCUUGAUUUAGCUUCCUUUCAUGUUUUUACACAUAUGCAUGAGUUUGAAAUAGGGAAAUGACCCUAAAAGAUAUGUGAAACCCCAAAUUGGUCUUUUACAAGUUUAUAAAGUGCAGCAAACCCAAUUUAAAUGGAAAUAUUUUCCUCUCAUUUGAAAAGAUUAUGGCCUAAGCUUUAUUUAUGUGGAUGCAGUUGUUCCUCAGCAGGUCUGGAAGCAUGCCCCUGAGGAAGGCAUGUCCACCAACCACUCAAGCUUAAUCAGUAAAUACGUGGAUUUUGUUUUCCAGUUCCAGCUGAGUGAUGAAAACAAACUAAACAAAAGCAUGAAAGUGAAAGUGCAGAUUGUACUCCUAUUUCUUAAGUUACAUUUUAAAUGCUAUAUCCUUCGAACUGGCUCUAGAUACAUCAAUGAUCAAUCCUGAGAUUAUUUAAAUUAGCUGAUUUUAACCCUCUGCAGACUGACUUAGCUGCUACUGCCUUGUAAUUGGCUCCAAAAAUCUGGCUGUUAGUCCACACUAUGUUCACUCACUGUGCCUGUCUCAGAUUCAUGCAGUGAGCCCAAAGGUAGGAACUUCAAUAUUUUGGCUUCACUUCUCACAGAAAUCUUGGUUGCCAGUGUUAUGGGCUGAAAUGUGUCUCCCCACAAUUCAUAUGUUGAAGCCCUAACCCCCAGUACCUCAAAAUGAGACUUUAUUCUAAGAUAGGGUCUUUACACAGGUAAUUAAGUUUGAAUAAGGUAUUUAGUGUGGUCUUUAAUCCAAUUCAACUGUUGUCCUUAUAAGAAGAGGAAAUUCAGACACAGGCAGGUACAGAGAGGAGAUGAUGUGAGAACAGGGAAAUGAUGGCCAUCUAUAAGCCAAGGAUAGAGGCCUCAGAAGAAAUCAACGCUGCUGACACCUUGAACUCAGACUUCUCGCCUCCAGAACUGUAAGAAAAUUUAUUUCUGUUGUUUAAGUCACCCAUGUGUGGUACUUUGUUAUGGAAACCCUAAGACAUCAAUACACCCAGCUUUCAUUCAGGUCUUACAUUUACUUUUAAGCAAAAGAAUAUUACAUUUGACUGUGGAGACUUAUAUAUGCUUCUGGGAUGAAGGAAUAAUCUGAGGAGAGAAUUUGGAAACCAUGGCAGACACAGAGCAAGCUCAUAACCAUCAGGUAGUCAGAUUCUUCCCAAUGACUUGGUAACUAGCUGGCUUGAAGUAAGACCCUUAAAAUAAGCUUUGCCUCUUACAGGUCAAGAGGAGACAAGUUAUGCCUGAGCUAUAAAGACUUCUUUGAAUUUCCUACUCAGAGAAACUAUGUUGCUCAGGUUCUGCAGAUCCUCAGGACAACCGAAGACAAGCAGUGGCCACAGCCCUCUGGGUUCUUCCCAUAGCUACGCACAGAUUCUUGAGGGAGCUUAGAGACGUCGUUUUCCGGCCAUCAUUUUAUACAUGAGGCAGCAAAAGUCAAGACAAUUGAAGCAACAGGUAGCAAUGAAGUUAAGGAGGAAAACAGUCAAAGCUGAAUGAAUGCUGAAGUCAUUACGGUCAUGCGCUGCAUAAUGAGGUCUUGGUCAAAAACAAACCCCAUAUAUGACAAAGUUUCUCCAACUCCCAUCUCUCAGAGGGGCUGGCUCUGCUUUUGCUCAACACUGUAUGCCAGUUUUUGGCAUGAUGUCUGGAACAACACAGACCUUCAAUAAACAUUUGUGGAAUAAAUGAAUGGAUGGGUGGAUGGACAGAUGAAUGGAUGGAUGAGGUACAUACACUACUAUUGUCAUCCCAUGGAAUUGUAGCAUUAGAGUCUUUUGCUAUUUUUCCACCAUCAAAAUUCAUUGGUCUUAUUUUCCAUGUAUGCUUCUCCCUGCUUUCUGAGUCUUUUUAAUUUAUUAAGCAUAUUUAAAUAAAUACUCUCCCAAUUAACAAUAGGAGACCUUGUCAAACAAAACGCCUGAGAUUUAACUCUAAUGGUAAGACUCCAGGCCUUACGGACCUGUGAAAAAAUAAUAGGUUGAGUCAGGAAGUCCCUUUGAUAACUCCUCAAUUCAGCAAUGUAUAAACCACUCAAGUAAAUCAGGGAGACACUGUACUGAAUACUUAAGAGCAAGGCUUCUGGAAUCAGAGGUAUCUGUGCAACAUUGGGCACAUUGUUUAAGGUACCUUCAUUUAAUGUUUUGACAAUUUUGAUAUAUAAAAAGUUAAAUGUGGGCUGCUGUGAGGUUUAUGAAUUAAGAAGAAGAAGCCUCUGAUCCUCAUUCCCAGUCCCCAGCUCUCUUCGCAUUUUAGAAUGAUAAAGAUAAACACUGUAAAAUAGCAGAUUAUUUUUCCCAUUCUAGUCACUGGAGAGUGUUUAUUUAAUGUACCUUACCUCAGUUUCCUGAUCUGUAAAGCAGAGGUGAUACUAGCCAACUCACAGGGUUACUGUGAGAAUUAAAUAAGAUAAUCCAUCCAGAACACUUAGAGUAGUACCUGGCCUGCCUCAAUCAAUAUUAGCUAUUGGUUAUGCUAACUCGUGCCUUGUUUUUUCCAUUCUAAACCCCAUUACUAAGUGAUCAUAUGCUUCAUUUAUCAAAUCUAAGCAUCUUUCUCAAAAUUCAAGCCCAGGUUUGGCUUGCCACCAUUCAGAAAGCUCACAAGACUUAACUUUUGCUUGCAGGCCUGUUCCCAAAGCAGCAUUCCAGGUGCUCUGGUGGACAAGAUGAUGUCCCCGCUGGAGUGGUGACUUUGAAGAAGGCAACCUCGAUGCUGAAGUGUAAAUUCUGAAAUACAUGUUUUUUUAAAGAAAAUUAGCUGUGAAAAGGAGGUGGACUUUGCUGAGAGGAGAGCCCACCUAGGAAGCCCAGAUGCCUAGCAGAUGAGGGACUUGCAGACCCCGUCUUCUUUUGGGAUUUUGGGCAAGGAGGUCUAUUCCUAAGGCAACACUAGCAUUGCACCCACUUAUUGGCCUCAGUGUAACCAACAAUCUGUAUCAUUGCCUCUGCCCCUGCUAAUAAGUCUCUCUCACAAGCAUCUUUCCAAUACUCUAUUUUAGACUAUGUUUAUCCUUAUGACAAAACGCACAUCUCAUUAUUAAUUGAGGCUCAGAGAGGACGAGCAGCUGUUGUUUCUCACUUUGCUUUACAAAACUUCAAAAGCCUCCAUUAAACUCCCUGGACAAAAGUGUUCAAGGGGCCACGGCUCUCAUGUCACUUAGCCCCAUUUCCCCUAAAGGCUUUGUUUAUGUGGAAACUGGAGAAAAAGGGAGAGCAGCAAAAAAGAAGGCAAAAUUUGAGAAACCAGACACUGAUGCUGUGAGCAGAAGCCAACAGAACUGUGGAAUGGUAUCUCCCACCCUUUAACUGAAGCCUGGGUGCCAUUGAAAAGCUAGAGAGGACUUGCAACAAACUGGUGGGCCUGGGGGGUGGGAGGAGGUAGAAUGUGGCCCAAACCCCAAACUUCCCAGGAAAAUUAUCUUGGACCUUUUCAAAAAAAGUUCUGCUUCUUGGAAAGCAGCUCACAUUAAAUCAGAGCCAUGGGCAUGAACUGCAGGAAUGGCUUCUUUUCUAAGCUGUGUAGAAAUAUGUGACCAACUUAACUUCAGCUGAGGCCAGCUUGAGAAACAGAUCACAUUAUAGCAGGCUCCAGGCUGCCCACACUGAGAAAGACUCAGGAAAACGUUGUGGAGUGAGUCUGUUGCAAAAAUGUGAAGAAGGUGAGAUUGGUCUUUCCCUCCUCUCCCAUUUUUGGCAUUUUUCCUAUUUUUGACCAGCUUCCCUGCUCACUCUUCUGAAUUUCUUCCAUCAUAGGUUUGACCAGCUGCUUGAAAAUCAAACUGUCUUUUGGUCCUUGCACCUGGUAGGCACUUGGUAAAUAUUGGUUGAGUGAAUAAACAAUUUUCUACUGAGAAUCCUGAUGAUUUGUAAAAACCCAUUUAUUCUUUCCAAACCUUUUUGAUCUUGAUGACCUCAUAUUAUCCUCAAGACACCUGUCUCAUGUUUGCCACCACUGGGAACUAGACAUGAAGGGCAUUAGUAUUACCAUUUAUCGGUGAGAUAAAUUGAGGUGUGUUUGGUCAGGGUCACGUGGAAAGUAUUUGGAGAAGCAGGCUCAGCAUCAGGGCUCCUGGCUUGUUUCUCAAUGCCCUUUCCACACAGCCAUGAUGCCUCACUCUCAGGAUAGGAGCUGACAUUUAUUGAGCGUGUACUAUAUGCCAGACACCAUGCUAAGAGCUAUACAUGUGUUAUCUCCUAUAUCACAACCAUCUUCUGAUGUGACUAUUAUUAUACCCAUUUUACAGAGAAGGAAAAUAAGGUACAGAGAGAGGGGGUUAAAGUAAGGAGAGAGGGAAAGACAUGUAGCUCAGAAAUGGUGCAGCCAGGGUUUGGCCCAGGAUGUCUGGCACAAAUCUAUGCACUUAACCACUAUCAAAUUACCGUCUUGAGACAAAAGUGAUAUAAUAUUACCUGGCCAAAAAAAAAUUUUUUUAAAAAGAAAAUCAGAGAAAGAGGGAAUGUUUACUCCAAAAGGAUGGCCCCCUAAGGGAGAACUCUUGGGUAUUUGAGGGCUAAGGGAGGCAUCUGGGGGUAAAUAGUACUCUAUGGAAUCUUCUCUGCUCCAGAGUCCUCAGUCUUUGAAAUCUAUGUGAUUGGGACAAAUUUUGUAAGGAACACUCAAAUGUAUUCCAGUUUACUGAAAAUUGUGGCCUGUUGCCCUGGUUUUUACCGAUCCUGUCUAAUCUCUUGCCUAAGGGGGUCAACUGUAAUAAAUAAUCUAUUUUUAUUCAAAGGUCCAGUGGAUUUCAAUAGUUGUUUCCAAAUCAUGUCUGCUCUCAUUUGGCCCUGUUUUGAUUACAAUAGAGAGGAUGAUAUUGAUUUUUUAAUUCAUAUUUCCUCUCUAUUGAUACAUUUCCAAGACUCACCUACAAAUAAAAGAGCAAUAUUCUCACUAUGAGUAAUUAAAGGAUUAUAAUCAGUUUCCCUCAUAAUAUUAUACAUGUAAUGCUUCUUAUUGUUAAAAGUGCAUUUAGAGUGGACAUAGUUUUAAUAAUUUUUAAAAAGGGAAAAAUAUUUCCUAUAUGUCAGUAUUUUUAAGGUAACAAAUGAAAGAAACUCGAAUAAAACCACCACAGUAAUGAAGAAAAUGUAUUAGUUCAUAUGACUAGGAAACUCAGGAGUUGAGUGGGCCUGAGAAACUCCUAAGACUCAAUGAUGUCAUUUGCCCCCUCUCUCCCUCUUUCAUUCUCUGUCCCCACCAUCUGUUUCUGCUUCUCUGGCAUUUGAGCCUCAGUUUCUUCCAUUAAGUUUGAAUCUCUGCCACGGGCAGGGGCAGAGGGAAGAGAAGCAUGGCCUCAAACAGUUUCAAGCAUAAUCACUGCUAAUGAAAGUUCCCAGAGGAAACCAAGUGUCCUAGUCUGUUUGCGUUGUCAUAAAGGAAUACAUAAAACUGGGUAAUUUAUAAAGAAAAGAGGCUUAUUUGGCUCACCAUUCUGUGGGCUGUAUAUGGAGCAUAAAGCCAGCAUCUGCAUCUGGUGAGGGCCUCAGGAAGCUUACAGUCCUGGCAGAAGCUAAAGGGGGCAGCUUGUCACAUGAUGAGAGAGGGAGCAAGAGACAGAGGAGAAGGUGCCAAGCUCCUUUUAAACAAGCAGCUCUUGUGUGAACUAAUAGAGCAGGAACUCACUUAUAACCAAAGAAAUGGUGCUAAGCCAUUCAUGGGGGAUCUGCCCCCAUGAUCAAACACCUUCCACCAGGCCCUAUCUCUAAUAUUAGGGAUCACAUUUUAACAUGCAAUUUGGAGGGAACAAACAUCCAAACCAUACCACUGGGGUUUUCUCACUAAGCAUAAAAAUAAAUUAUCCCAAGGAAGGAUCUACUUGGUUUCCAUGGUUUAAGUGUUUAAUGCUUGGCCAAUCAUCAUGGUCACUGGGGAGGAUUUCAAUUGGCCAGGCAUAAAACACAGGCUCACUCCUGUAGUCAAGGGGUGAGCACUGUGAUUAACAGCCCUUCUAGAAUGAUGGGCAGUGAGAAUAGGCACAGUAUCCCGAAGAGAGUUGGAAGCUGUAAGGAGAAACUGUCUAGUGUCAUAUGGGGCAUUCUGUGGCCUUUGCAGAAACAUAAGCAUCAUGUCAGGUCAUCUCUAAUGCAGCCUUAAUCAUCUGAGCAAAAUAGGAGAUUUUGGCUAGAAUCCGAAUUCAUGUUCUACUCUCCCAAUUAUACACCCCAAAAACUCACACACACACACACGCACGCACAAACACACACACACACCCCUUCCUAUAUACUUAGUGAGUGCCUACAAUAUAUUAGAAAGAUGCACAAUGUUAUGUUUCAUGAAGCACAGACUCUACAAGUUACCAAGUGUGGGAUUGCUAUGGCUUGAAUGUCCUCUUCAUGUUGAAAUUAAUUGCCAUUGUGAUUAUUUAAGAGGUGGGACUUAAAUAAUCCCACCUCUUAAAAGGUGGGACUGUUAAGAGGUGAUUGGGCCUUGAGAGCUCUACCCUUAUUAAUGGAUUAAUGUCAAUGUUGCAGGAGUGGGUUUAUUAUUUUGAGGGUCAGUUUUUAUAAAAGCAAGUUCAGCCUUCUCUUGCUCUUGUGGGUUCUCUUGCCCUUCUACCUUCUGCUGUGGGAUGAUGCAGCAAGAAGGCCCUUGCCAGAUGCCAGCAGCUUGGUAUUGGACUUUCCGGCCUCCAGAACUGUGAGAAAUAAGUUUCUUUUCUUUAUAAAUUACCAAAUCUGUGGUGUUCUGUUACAGCAGCACAAUAUGGACUAAGACAGUGACCUUGAACAAGUUACUCUUCCUCUUCUUACUUCACUUUCCUCAUCUCUAAUGGGAAUAAUGGUAUUCUGUACCUCAUAAGAUUUUUGAGAGGAUACAUGUGUUCAUAUAUGUAAAGUAGUCAGUAUAGUCCCUGGCACACAGCAAAUACUAAAUAGGUGUUUAUUGUUAUUAGCAUUCAUAUUAGUAUUGUGUGACCUUGGACAGGUUGUAUCACAUCUUCAGGUUGUACCUCUAUAAAAUGGGAACAAUAUACCCAUUUCAAAGUGUGAAGUUUAGGUUAAAAUUGCACAUAUAGAGCACGAAGUAUAUUGCAAAUGAAUAAGACUGGCCAUUAUAAAGUGGAAAAUGUAAUUGCUUUACAACUCCUGACCCCAUUCCUGGGCCCUUACCAUGGAGAGAGAGAAAAAAGAUCUUGUGGUAGACCACAACCUUGCAGAUGAUUCCCUUCCCAGCGAAUGUAAUCCAGUGUUACUCCUGAAUGUCCAGUCUCUACAAGUGCCCAAUUGGUCUGUUCCUGUCUACAAAUAGUUCCAACAUUUUAUCUAAGUAAAUUAGCAAAACUCAUGUACUUCUGAUGGAAAGAAAAGACAAUUUCUCACCAUUUCGACGAUAUUUGACUCUUCUCUUUUCUUGCUUCAUAUUUCCUAUUCCAAUCCAUAGAACCUUGUUUGAAAUUUUAGCCUUAAAAUUGACUAAUAAAUACUGCCUAAAUCACAGGCCACAAAAACUGGUGACAAGUUAAGCAUAUGAUAACAAUUAAGAUGGUACCCAAGCUAAUCUUUAACAUUUUAAAGUUUCUUUAAGAGUGAAUUCACAGCUGUCUCCUGCAUACACCUUUGUCUUAAAUAAUUUCUGGUAGAAUUUUAUCACUUUGUCAUCUUUCUGAUGUCAAAUUACUCUUAAAUCUCUUUUCCCAGAAACAGAAUCUGGCUUUAAGUUCUUAGAGUCGGAAAGUAGGCCAAAUAAUUGGAUAAAGCAAGACCCUGGGCCACUUUGCAAAGUUUUGCCUGAGCCAACAUUAUUUCCUUAUGGAGCUUUUAAAACUUAAACACCUAUAUAUUAGUAACAAUGCUAGGCAGUAGACGGGACUCUUGGACUAGAAAGCGAAAUGUUGGAUAUAGGCUUUUGUUUUGUUUUGUUUUGUUUUGUUUAAACAGCUUUAUUGUGGUGUACCUGGCAUAUAAUCAACUGUACACAUUGAAAGGGUCAACUUUGCUAAGUUUUUAUGGAUUACAUAUACCUGUGAAAUCACCACCACAAUAAACAAAAAGAACACACAAAUCACCCUCUAGAGGUUCUUUAUGGCAUUGUGAUUUCUCUUUUCUCUACUCCUAAAAUGUUAUCAACUCUUUCCAAGUUAAAAAAAAAAAAAAACAAACAAACACUAUUUCUUUAUAAUGAGAAGCAAAGAUUUUAAUACGUAUUUGGGAAAGCUAGCGAGAAUCUUAGAGUGGGGUGAUAACUCUUUCACAAAACUGACUUCUAGAUCUGGGAGAGGAAUGAUUAUUCACCCCAUUUUGUCAAGUGUCUGCUUUCCUAGCUGAAGCUCUGCCAACUAUGAAAAGAUGUUUGGGGCCAGGCAUGGUGGCUCACACC
rnacentral:lncRNA from 1 species